UCAAAUAGAACAGGUCGAUUUUAGUCAGCUUGAGGGUGGAAAGUCGAAAAUGAAUUAUACAGAAGGAAUUCCAUAUCCGAAAUAUUUAAAAUUUCGAUUUUUUUUAAAUAUUUGGGUCAUUUUGUUAUCUUAGGAUUCAUUUUAUAGUCUUUUGCAAUUCAGUACAGUUGCAGAAGCAAACUCUCUGUCGAUUGCUGAUGGAACAAUCCGGAUUUGUUCAACUGACAGGUUUAUUGUUCUAUGUCACGUGGUCAUCUUGAAUUUUUGCAAAAUGGCGUGCAAAUUGUCGCGUCAAUUGCUUCGUUCACUUUUGCUUUUAUUAUUAGUUUUAAAAAGAAAUGACAAAGUGCUGUUAAAUAAUGAAUCCGGUUAAAGUGAGAAAUCUAUUGUAAGUGUGGUAAAUGGAUGAAGAGACAACACAGUUUUCCUAAAAGUAUCAAAUUGAGACCAAAAAUUGCAUCAAAUCUUUGCAACGUUUUGAUGCACAUAAGUUAUAUCAAAAAGAGAUCAUUUUGUGUAUCAUUUUUAGAAAUGAUAUACGAAACGGUCUCAUUUUUUGAUGCAAAAAAUUUAUUCAAUUUAUAUCAAUCAUGGCCGAAUUGAAUCGACUCAAAAUUAAACGAAUUUUUUUCAGAUAUUUUGGUAAUAGUACAAUUGCGGAGACCAUUUCACUAUUUAAUUUAAAAAUGAAAAUAACAGAAAAUCAAAGACAAUGUGCAAUUCGAUAAUUAAAAAGUGACAGCUUAUAAACAUAACCUAAAAUGCAUGAGAAAAAAUUUGUCGAUAAAAUCAAUAUAGCCGAGCUUUUUAGAAGGUAGAUGCCAGCACUCAUCUAUUUUCUUUCUUUAAAUUUUUUCUGAAUCGUUUUUAUAAAAAGCAAAACUGCCAUCUACCUUCUAAAAAGCUCGGCUAUAUUGAUUUUAUCGACAAAUUUUUUCUCAUGCAUUUUAGGUUAUGUUUAUAAGCUGUCACUUUUUAAUUAUCGAAUUGCACAUUGUCUUUGAUUUUCUGUUAUUUUCAUUUUCAAAUUAAAUAGUGAAAUGGUCUCCGCAAUUGUACUAUUACCAAAAUAUCUGAAAAAAAUUCGUUUAAUUUUGAGUCGAUUCAAUUCGGCCAUGAUUGAUAUAAAUUGAUUAAAUUUUUUGUAUCAAAAAAUGAGACCGUUUCGUAUAUUAUCAUUUCUAAAAAUGAUACACAAAACGAUCUCUUUUUGAUAUAACUUAUGUGCAUCAAAACGUUGCAAAAGAAAAAGAUACAACCAAGUUUACUGUGAAUUUCAUCGUUUAACGGUCAAAGAAUUUGAUUCAGAAGCUGCAUGUUCCACAGAUUUUAAUGCAAAUGAAACUGGUGAUAUGGCCUACGGAAAUUAUUUUAGAAGUCGAAGAAACUGAACAAAUUGUAUUAGACGGAUCAAAGCUUUGUUAAUAAAACAAAUUGUAUUGCCGAUUUAACAAUUUAGUUUUGUUAUUUCAACUGUUCCAUAACAAUUUUCUUUGUUCAUCAAACAAUUCUGUUUGUUCACCGAACAAUCUGAAUAGUUUUAAU